rnacentral:lncRNA from 1 species
CCGAGUCCGGCGGACGAACUUCGCCCACACCCCCCACCAAGGCUAUAGCCCACCCGUUUUUUGGUCAUUUUUGCGCUGGGGUGUAUUGGCGCCCCGACAUUCGGGGGCUGAUUUUUGGGCGCGGCUGUGCCCGUGGCCUAUUUUUGGCACACGGAGGCCGCCCGCAAAGUCGGGGGCCAUUCCGAGUCCGGCGGACGAAGUUCGCCCACGCCCCCCACCAAGGCUAUAGCCCACCCGUUUUUUGGCCAUUUUUCCGCUGGGGGGUCUUGGCGCCCCGACAUUCGGUGGCUGAUUUUUGGGCGCGGCUGUGCCCGUGGUCUAUUUUUGGCACACGGAGGCCGCCCGCAAAGUCUGGGGCCAUUCCGAGUCCGGCGGACGAACUUCGCCCACGCCCCCCACCAAGGCUAUAGCCCACCCGUUUGUUGGCCAUUUUUCCGCUGGGGGGUCUUGGCGCCCCGAACUUCGGGGGCUGAUUUUUGGACGCGGCUGUGCCCGUGGCCUAUUUUGGGCCACGGAGGCCGCCCGCAAAGUUUGGGGCCAUUCCGAGUCCGGCGGACGAACUUCGCCCACGCCCCCCACCAAGGCUAUAGCCCACCCGUUUUUUGGCCAUUUUUCCGCUGGGGGGUCUUGGCGCCCCGACCUUCGGGGGCUGAUUUUUGUGCGCGGCUGUCGCCGUGGCCUAAUUUUGGCACACGGAGGCCGCCCGCAAAGUCUGGGGCCAUUCCGAGUGCGGCGGACGAAGUUCGCCCACGCCCCCCACCAAGGCUAUAGCCCACCCAUUUUUUGGCCAUUUUUCCGCUGGGAGGUCUUGGCCUCCCGACCUUCGGGGGCUAAUUUUUGGGCGCGGCUGUGGCCGUGGCCUAUUUUUGGCACACGGAGGCCGCCCGCAAAGUCUGGGGCCAUUCCGAGUCCGGCGGACGAACUUCGCCCACACCCCCCACCAAGGCUAUAGCCCACCCGUUUUUUGGCCAUUUUUCCGCUGGGGUGUCUUGGCGCCCCAACAUUCGGGGGCUGAUUUCUGGGCGCGGCUGUGCCCGUGGCCUAUUUUUGGCACACGGAGGCCGCCCGCAAAGUCUGGGGCCAUUCCGAGUCCGGCGGACGAACUUCGCCCACGCCCCCCACCAAGGCUAUAGCCCACCCGUUUGUUGGCCAUUUUUCCGCUGGGGGGUCUUGGCUCCCCGACCUUCGGGGGCUGAUUUUUGGGCGCGGCUGUGCCCGUGGCCUAUUUUUGGCACACGGAGGCCGCCCGCAAAGUCUGGGGCCAUUCCGAGUCCGGCGGACGAACUUCGCCCACGCCCCCCACCAAGGCUAUAGCCCACCCGUUUUUUGGCCAUUUUUCCGCUGGGGGGUCUUGGCGCCCCGACCUUCGGGGGCUGAUUUCUGGGCGCGGUUGUGCCCAGAAAUCAAUUUUUGGCACACGGAGGCCGCCCGCAAAGUCUGGGGCCAUUCCGAGUCCGGCGGACGAACUUCGCCCACGCCCCCCACCAAGGCUAUAGCCCACCCGUUUUUUGGCCAUUUUUCCGCUGGGAGGUCUUGGCGCCCCGACAUUCGGGGGCUGAUUUCUGGGCGCGGCUGUGCCCGUGGCCUAUUUUUGGCACACGGAGGCCGCCCGCAAAGUCUGGUGCCAUUCCGAGUCCGGCGGACAAACUUCGCCCACGCCCCUCACCAAGGCUAUAGCCCACCCGUCUUUUGGCCAUUUUUUGCCCUGGGGGGUCUGGGCGCCCCAACCUUCGGGGGCUAAUUUUUGGGCCCGGCUGUGCCGGUGGCCAAUUUUUGGCACACGGAGGCCGCCCGCAAAGUCUGGGGCCAUUCCGAGCCCGGCGGACGAACUUCGCCGACGCCCCCCACCAAGGCUAUAGCCCACCCAUUUUUUGGCCAUUUUUCCGCUGGGGGGUCUUGGCGCCCCGACCUUCGGGGGCUGAUUUUUGGCGCGGCUGUGGCCGUGGCCUAAUUUUGGCACACGGAGGCCGCCCGCAAAGUCUGGGGCCAUUCCGAUCCCCGGCGGACGAACUUCGCCCACGCCCCCCACCGAGGCUAUAGCCCAUCCGUUUUUUUGCCAUUUUUCCGCUGGGGGGUCUUGGCACCCCGACCUUCGGGGGCUGAUUUUUGGGCGCGGCUGUGCCCGUGGCCUAUUUUUGGCACACGGAGGCCGCCCGCAAAGUCUGGGGCCAUUCCGAGUGCGGCGGACGAAGUUCGCCCACGCCCCCCACCAAGGCUAUAGCCCACCCAUUUUUUGGCCAUUUUUCCGCUGGGAGGUCUUGGCCUCCCGACCUUCGGGGGCUAAUUUUUGGGCGCGGCUGUGGCCGUGGCCUAUUUUUGGCACACGGAGGCCGCCCGCAAAGUCUGGGGCCAUUCCGAGUCCGGCGGACGAACUUCGCCCACGUCCCCCACCAAGGCUAUAGCCCACCCGUUUUUUGGCCUUUUUUCCGCUGGGGGGUCUUGGCGCCCCGACCUUCGGGGGCUGAUUUCUGGGUGCGGCUGUGCCCAGAAAUCAAUUUUUGGCACACGGAGGCCGCCCGCAAAGUCUGGGGCCAUUCCGAGUCCGGCGGACGAACUUCGCCCACGCCCCCCACCAAGGCUAUAGCCCACCCACUUUUCCGCUGGGGGGUCUUGGCGCCCCGACCUUCGUGGGCUGAUUUUUGGGCGCGGCUGUGCCCGUGACCUAUUUUUGGCACACGGAGGCCGCCCGCAAAGUCUGGGGCCAUUCCGAGUACGGCGGACGAAGUUCGCCCACGCCCCCCACCAAGGCUAUAGCCCACCCAUUUUUUGGCCAUUUUUCCGCUGGGAGGUCUUGGCCUCCCGACCUUCGGGGGCUAAUUUUUGGGCGUGGCUGUGGCCGUGGCCUAUUUUUGGCACACGGAGUCCGCCCGCAAAGUCUGGGGCCAUUCCGAGUCCGGCGGACGAACUUCGCCCACGCCCCCCACCAAGGCUAUAGCCCAACCGUUUUUUGGCGAUUUUUCCGCUGGGGUGUCUUGGCACCCCGACCUUCGGGGGCUGAUUUUUGGGCGCGGCUGUGGCCGUGGCCUAAUUUUGGCACACAGAGGCCGCCCGCAAAGUCUGGGGCCAUUCCGCGCCCGGCGGACGAACUUCGCCCACGCCCCCCACCAAGGCUAUAGCCCACCCGUUUUUUGGCCAUUUUUCCGCUGGGGGGUCUUGGCGCCCCGACAUUCGGGGGCUCAUUUUUGGGGGCGGCGGUGCCCGUGCCUAUUUUGGGCACACGGAGGCCGCCCGCAAAGUCUGGGGCCAUUCCGAGUCCGGCGGACGAACUUCGCCCACGCCCCCCACCAAGGCUAUAGCCCACUCGUUUGUUGGCCAUUUUUCCGCUGGGGGGUCUUGGCGCCCCGACCUUCGGGGGCUGAUUUUUGGGCGCGGCUGUGCCCGUGGCCUAUUUUUGGCACACGGUGGCCGCCCGCAAAGUCUGGGGCCAUUCCGAGUCCGGCGGACGAACUUCGCCCACGCCCCCCACAAAGGCUAUAGCCCACCCGUUUUUUGGCCAUUUUUCCGCUGGGGGGUCUUGGCGCCCCGACCUUCGGGGGCUGAUUUUUGGGCGCGGCUGUGGCCGUGGCCUAUUUUUGGCACACGGAGGCCGCCCGCAAAGUCUGGGGCCAUUCCGAGUGCGGCGGACGAAGUUCGCCCACGCCCCCCACCAAGGCUAUAGCCCACCCAUUUUUUGGCCAUUUUUCCGCUGGGAGGUCUUGGCCUCCCGACCUUCGGGGGCUAAUUUUUGGGCGCGGCUGUGGACGUGGCCUAUUUUUGGCACACGGAGGCCGCCCGCAAAGUCUGGGGCCAUUCCGAGUCCGGCGGACGAACUUCGCCCACACCCCCCAGCAAGGCUAUAGCCCACCCGUUUUUUGGCCAUUUUUCCGCUGGGGUGUCUUGGCGCCCCGACAUUCGGGCGCUGAUUUCUGGACGCGGCUGUGCGCGUGGCCUAUUUUUGGCACACGGAGGCCGCCCGCCAAGUCUGGUGCCAUUCGGAGUCCCGCGGACGAACUUCGCCCACGCCCCCCACCAAGGCUAUAGCCCACCGGUUUUUUGGCCAUUUUUCCGCUGUGGGGUCUUGGGACCCCGACCUUCGGGGGCUGAUUUUUGGGCGCGGCUGUGCCCGUGGCCUAUUUUUGGCACACGGAGGCCGCCCGCCAAGUCUGGUGCCAUUCGGAGUCCCGCGGACGAACUUCGCCCACGCCCCCCACAAAGGCUAUAGCCCACCCAUUUUUUGGCCAUUUUUCCGCUGGGGGGUCUUGGGACCCCGACCUUCGGGGGCUGAUUUUUGGGCGCGGCUGUGCCCGUGGCCUAUUUUUGGCACACGGAGGCCGCCCGCCAAGUCUGGGGCCAUUCCGAGUCCCGCGGAUGAACUUCGCCCACGCCCCCCACAUAGGCUAUAGCCCUCCCGUUUUUUGGCCAUUUUUCCGCUGGGGGGUCUUGGGACCCCGACCUUGGGGGGCUGAUUUUUGGGCACGGCUGUGCCCGUGGCCUAUUUUUCGCACACGGAGGCCGCCCACCAUGUCUGGGGCCAUUCCGAGUCCCGCGGACGAACUUCGCCCACGCCCCCCACAUAGGCUAUAGCCCACCCACUUUUUGGCCAUUUUUCCGCUGGGGGGUCUUGGGACCCCGACCUUCGGGGGCUGCUUUUUGGGCGCGGCUGUGCCCGUGGCCUAUUUUUGUCACACGGAGGCCGCCCGUCAAGUCUGGUGCCAUUCCGAGUCCCGCGGACGAACUUCGCCCACGCCCCCCACCAAGGCUAUAGCCCACCCGUUUUUUGGCCAUUUUUCCGCUGGGGGGUCUUGGGACCCCGACCUUCGGGGGCUGAUUUUUGGGCGCGGCUGUGCCCGUGGCCUAUUUUUGGCACACGGAGGCCGCCCGCCAAGUCUGGGGCCAUUCCGAGUCCCGCGGACGAACUUCGCCCACGCCCCCCACAUAGGCUAUAGCCCACCCAUUUUUUAGCCAUUUUUCCGCUGGGGGGUGUUGGG